rnacentral:snRNA from 1 species
CGCUUUGCGCAGAGGCGGUGUCGUACCCUAUGAAGUUAAAACUGAGGGGCGACUAUUGCUAGUUGAAACUUAUAGCGCUCGUCGACCUCGGGAGGGCGACAAAGUUCGCAGCCGGAGCACUCUG